CCGCUAUCCAUCGCAUCGUCUGAUCUACGAUGGCUCAACAGUGAAUAGCGGACAAGUAAAUAAACACAGCGCCUAUUGAGCGGGUUGCUGCAAUCCGAAACGGAGAGAUUCGUUUGGACUGCGGUUUGCUUUUUUGCACCCAUUUUGCAUUGGCACU
rnacentral:ncRNA from 1 species